UCUUUCUCAUCAAAAUGGGCUGCUCCGGGGGUCUUUUUUCUCGUCCUUUGGAAGUAGAAGGGCGAGCACAAGUUUGAUAUCCAGGGUAGAGGCGGGAAAGCCAAUGGCAAGACUCGACUUCCAAUCCGGUAUAGUUUCUAUUUGAUUCCUCAAAAAUUCCCUACCCCCAUACCAUACUAUAGUGACUUACUUGCUGGGAAACCCUUGCUACUGGCACUGGGAUGCGAGACCGACUAUCAUAUACGGCCAACCCUUCGAAUUGCUUUGCUUUGUACUAGAAAAAAGUCUUAAAAUAGAAAGCUCGAGCUUCUCAUCCAAGCUUGCCGAUAGAUAUAGUCACGUUCACUAUGAAAGUCAAAACUUGAACUUGGGACUGAGACUACUGAGACUUGCUACAAUAUAAGGCAACCUAUCUUCUUAGGGCUUAAAACUAGCUACUGACGAAAGGAGUUCCAUACGUUCCUUUCCACGAGCAAUAGAGCUGAGGAUAAGAUAAGUUCUUUAAAGCCAAAAAUCAAACCAUAAAUAAAAUUAGCAGGGUUGUGAAGGGUAUGCCCCAGCUCUUUUUAAAGUGGAUCCCCUCCAUGCAGUAAGGUCAGAUAAGAUUGUUUUGAGUUGGACAUGUGGUUGCCACCCACGGGUUAGCCGCGUGUUAAUGUUCAUAAUAUUUUAUAGCUAUAAAAAACGCCAUAGUUUAAAGCUUACCAGUACCCUUAUAGUUCAAUAGUUCAAGUUAGGGUUUGGGAAAGAGCUCGAAUGUUUUGUCUGAUUCGAUAGCCAAUCCGGAUGUUUUCGAAAGCCUGUAUAAGUCUCUUUAAGGUAUAAGGUAUAGCUCAUAAAGCCCUCUUACUAGUUCAUAAGUUCCAGCACCN
rnacentral:lncRNA from 1 species